rnacentral:rRNA from 1 species
AAGAGACAGCAGCCGCCGCGGUAAUGCAGAGGUCCCGAACGUUGUUCGGAUUCAUUGGGCGUAAAGGGUGUGUGGGAGGUCGGGUAAGUCAGGUGUGAAAUCUCACAGCUUAACUGUGAAACUGCGCUUGAUACUGCUCGGCUAGAGGAUCGGAGGGGGUAACGGAAUUUAUGGUGUAGCAGUGAAAUGCGUAGAUAUCAUAAGGAACACCGGUGGCGAAGGCGGUUACCUGGAAGAUUCCUGACUCUGAAGCACGAAAGCCAGGGGAGCAAACGGGAUUAGAUACCCCCGUAGUCCCUGUCUCUUAUAC